rnacentral:rRNA from 1 species
AGAGGUGAAAGAUUUAUCGCUGUAGGAUGAGCCCAUGCGGGAUUAGCUAGUUGGUGAGGUAAAUGCUUACCAAGGCUACGAUCUCUAGUUGGUCUGAGAGGAUGAUCAGCCACACUGGAACUGAGAUACGGUCCAGACUCCUACGGGAGGCAGCAGUGGGGAAUACUGGACAAUGGGCGAAAGCCUGAUCCAGUGACGUCGCGUGAGUGAUGAAGGCCUUAGGGUUGUAAAGCUCUUUUAGUGGGGAAGAUAAUGACGGUACCCACAGAAAAAGCCCCGGCUAACUUCGUGCCAGCAGCCGCGGUAAUACGAAGGGGGCUAGCGUUACUCGGAAUUAUUGGGCGUAAAGCGUGCGUAGGUGGUUUUGUAAGUCGGGAGUGAAAUCCUCAAGCUUAACUUGAGAAUUGCUUUCGAAACUGCAAGGCUUGAGUAUCAGAGAGGAUAGUGGAAUUCCUAGUGUAGAGGUGAAAUUCGUAGAUAUUAGGAGGAACACCGGUGGCGAAAGCGAUUAUCUGGCUGAUCACUGACACUGUUGCACGAAGGCGUGGGGAGCAAACAGGAUUAGAUACCCUGGUAGUCCACGCAGUAAACGAUGAGUGCUAGAUGUUAGGACGUAAGUCUUAGUGUCGUAGCUAACGCGUUAAGCACUCCGCCUGGGGAGUACGACCGCAAGGUUAAAACUCAAAGGAAUUGACGGGGACCCGCACAAGCGGUGGAACAUGUGGUUUAAUUCGAUGUUACGCGAAAAACCUUACCAAGUCUUGACAUGAUAGUCGUAUGGCUAAGAAACUAGCCAGUCGGUUCGGCCGGACUAUCACAGGUGUUGCAUGGCUGUCGUCAGCUCGUGUCGUGAGAUGUUGGGUUAAGUCCCGCAACGAGCGCAACCCUUACCAUUAGUUGCCAACAGGUAGUGCUGGGGACUCUAAUGGAACUGCUAGUGAUAAGCUAGAGGAAGGCGGGGAUGAUGUCAAGUCAGCAUGGCCCUUAUGGCUUGGGCUACACACGUGUUACAAUGGUGAUCACAAUGAGAUGCGAAUGGGCAACCUAGAGCUAAUCUAUAAAACUCACCUCAGUUCGGAUUGCACUCUGCAACUCGGGUGCAUGAAGUAGGAAUCGCUAGUAAUCGCAGAUCAGCACGCUGCGGUGAAUACGUUCUCGGGUCUUGUACACACUGCCCGUCACGCCACGAAAGUUGGUUUUGCUUUAAGUACGUGCGCUAACCGCAAGGAGGCAGCGUAACACAGCGAGGUCGAUGAUUGGGGUGAAGUCGUAACAAGGUA